UCCAGCCGCCAUAUCACCCUGCAACUCACAACUGGCAGCCCACUGAAGCUCAGCAGGUGUGAGCCUGGUCAGUACCUGGAUAGGAGACCUCUUGGGGAAAAACUUAGGUUGCUGCUGGAA
rfam:Lepisosteus oculatus linkage group LG3, whole genome shotgun sequence.